AACACUGAAUGAACCGAUUAGUUAUUGAAGCAGAAGAAAACUUUAUUUCUAUUAAGUUGAAGCGCAUGAAUCAAUCUUCAAGCAACAAACACAAAAAUCAAUACAAUUAAGUCGGGAGAAUGUAUACAGAACAGACCCCAGGCUUUGAUACUCUGAAGUAAGCUGACUCGUAAACAUUUGGCUCCUGGGAAACUUGAGCUGACAUUUCACAGGACAGUAAACCGAAGACAGGUGGCACCGGCUUAGAAGACCGCUUUGAACUAGGAUCACAGUGAAAUGCCAUCGUAACUUAACAAUUUCCCGAGAUCUGUUCACCCCAAAACAAAAAUAUAUAAAAAUCAGUAGUACAAAUUCUCAUAAAACUAGAGAAGCCUUCUGAGCCCUAACAUUUUUUACAGCUUAUAGAAAAGGCAGUUUUCAUAUUUCUUCCCUUUUCCUUAAAUACAAAACAGUUUGUGCCCCAGGGAGAAGCGUCUAGGUGGACUGCUCCUUUCAAAGAUUUUAAACAAGAAACUUUAAAGACACCACACUUCCUUCAACUGCCAGUCACAGGGCAGCCUUUCCCUCUGGGCAAUGUCUUAGCCUGUCUUUCUCACACCUGUCAAACUGGAGAACUGUCAAACUGAGGACUGCCCUGAGCCACUCAGAUAACGGCAUUUAUUCUGGUAAGAACUGUGCAGUUUGCUAACCACAGAUAAGAGAUGGCAUUUAUGCACAAUUUUAAUGUUUCAGUGGAUACAAGUUUUCUUUCAUAGUUGAAAUAUGGCUUUGUGGUUUCCUGAUACCCAGGACUUCUUACCUGGAAAUCAGGUUAGGUCACUUACACAGAAAGGAAUGGUAACUUAAGGUCAGACCACAUUCUUACAUUAAGUUUCCUCUACUGAGUCCCAUAGGAUAUCAAAUAUACCAGAGAGGUACUAAGAUGGGAGGAUAGAAAAUGACUCAUAAGCUGCACAGGAUCCUACGUGACAAACUUCCCAUCAAAUGCAGGAAGACUAGAAAUGGGGCCUCAGUGCAAUUACCACCCUGACCUGCUGAGGGCCAGCUCCAGUCUCAGCAGCAGAGCUCAGCAAGCAGAGUCCAGACAGGAGCCAAUGCACUGUUUCUCUACUCAUGAGACUAAAGUGCUCCCUAGGGAAAGGCACAAAACAGGCCUUUUGCAAUCCCCUGGCCAAUCCCUAUGUGAUUAAAUAAAUAAGAUUAUUUCAAUUUUUAAAUAUAAGGAGACAAGAUCAUGAAGAUACUGAUUGCACUGGGGAAUGAUUUCAUUAGACAAUGCAUGACACAGGAAGAGCUCCAGUAACACUCUGAAAGAUGUGCUCUCUAAUUUAAGUGAAGGGCUCCAAGAGGCUUAAGUUCUUAGCCAACUCAGGUUCCGGUGAACUCCACCUUAUAAGAACCAUAUCCAUGAGUUUACACAGCAUCUAUCUAAAAUUACCCAUCUUAACAUUUUAGUUCUCAAGGAAAGCCAGGAAAACCCCUGAGAGUUCCCAUGCCCUUCCUACCUUUAGCCUUCUCUACAAAACAGAGGGGUGACUUGGGUGACACGGGAGCUCAUUUUGAACUUGGCUGCAGGGGCUGAUGGUGCGAAGGUGGCAGGAGAGUGAUUCCUGGGGAAGAUGAGGCAGGAAGCAAAUCUCCCCUGGUCACUGCCAUGACUGUUACAUGACAAGCAAAGGUGGAAGCCUGGCGCUCAGAACUGCACUAAUGUGUGGUGUCACCCAGGGUCACCCUGUAUUAGGUGCUCUAUUGGCAUUUCUUCAGAUGUCAAGGAAUAAAACAGGGUUCGAAUAGCUCCAUGAAGCUUAGGCCUCUCUACAGGACCAAGGCAGGGGAUGACACAAUACCUCCAAAAGAACAACCAGGGAACAUGGGCUUGCAGGCUGGGCAGAUUAGCCUCGGCACCCGCCUGCUUCAAAGCUUUGUAUUUACAAAGGACCCAGUUCAGAUCCUCCAGCAGCUCCCUUUGCUUACCCAAGGAGAAUAAAGAGCAGUCUCAGGCUGGCACUUCAGUGAAGUCUGCUACUCUUGCUAUGGACUUGUCAGUAGAUCUAAGCAGGCUCAAGGCCUGGGUUGCUCGGGGAAAGACACUGUCAAUAUUCAGUAAGAGGCCCUGGCUUCUAAGGCAGGCAAACCUGAGUGUGAGUUGCAGCUGUACUGUUAACUGGCAGCAGAAGCCUGGGGCAAGACUUCAAAUCUUGGACACACCUUUUUUGUUUAUACCAAGAGGGAUUGGUAUGAUGCUGGGAGAAUUCACCUAGAUGCUCAUAACAACUCUAACAGGGCACAUCGUACUUUGUAGGCCUUCAUAAGAGCACCUGUCUUAAGUUUCUUGUACUGGAGGAAUAAACAAACCAGUGUUUUCCAAGUUCUAAGCAAGUGGAUCAUGGAAAGCAAAGUGAAUGAAGAGCUGGGUAGAAUCACUGAAUGUAAGAUCAGACUGGAGGCUUAGAGACCACCCAGACUCUGCUUACAUGUGAAGGAACUGCAUGCCUGGCAUUAAAGGGAAAAGCAAGAUGCUUCUUUAAUUUUACUUUUGACAAGAUUCAAUAAUAACUUUUAUUUUUAUAAAACCAUUUAGAGAAAAACAGUGAGUUUGUUACAGAAAAACUGAAGGCCAUUGGACAGGAAUCAGCAUUGUGUGUCAAAGACCAUCGAAAAGACACUCUUUGCCUCUUGCUGGUCUCACCAACAUCUGCUGCGCAAUCUCAGCACAGCAGUCAUGGCUGAGACUGUUACAGAGUGUCCCGUGCUUACUACCAGAGUCUAUUAACCCGGAAGAUAGUCAUUUCCCAUUCAUCUUCCCCCAAACUCUACAGAGGCGAAGAAAGAAGUUCGAAGAUUUUUUAAAGAAUCUCUUUAGAAUUAUCCCUAAUUCCUUUAACACUCUCAAGUUUGUGGAAACUCUCUCAUGGCAACCCUACUCUAAUGUAUACAUUUCCCACAUCUGACCUAUUUUUAUCUAUACCUGGUUCCCCAGGAGGCCUGAUAUCUGUGUUCACCCAAUCCCUACCAACAGACAUCCAAAUCUCCCAAAGUGCUCGGCAUCAACACGAUGGUACAGUGAUGGUCACAGGCCUGGACCCUGCAUCUCUACUGCAGAAGCUUACAGAGUAAACAGAUUUCUCUGUAAUUGAGAGGAUGAGGACACUGGUGUACAUUCCCACCAAGGCAGCUAAGGUAGAAGGCAUGCACAUGGAGGGAUGAGCGGAGGGACCACUGGAGUCUGAGCAGUAUAGUAAGGAAGACGGACUGGUUAGCAAACAGAACAUACGGCAGUAAAUGGACUGGGGAUACACAGCACACCUUCAGAACAUGAGUUACAUGUUUCAGUACCACUAAAGUGCGAAAUAUGACCCCUCCCCAACGUAUCAGUAUGAGAUGUUAACAUGCAAUCAUGCCAGGAAUAAAGGAUGCUCCCUGGAGACAGGCCUGAUGCUGGAAAGGAGGAUAUAAAAUUUUUAAGGCAGUAGAAGAAAUGCCAUUGUUAUCCCCAGAGGACAGCGAGACUUAAACAAGGUGGCCAACAAGUCUGGAAACCAGGAAUAUCUUUUAACAAAUGCUUUAUUGAUAUAUAAUGAUUGACAAAAUAUUAGUAUCUUCAUUUCUGGACUUUAUGGCCACCUACAGACCGCAUCUUUGGAAUAGGAAGAAAAACAAUAUUCUGUGUUCCCAUAAUGGUAAAGUUGUUAUAACUCAACAUAGGUACAAUGUACAAUUUGUGCAAUAAUUACCUCAGACCCAGAGACCCCAUUCCCUUUACUGUACUUAUCCUCUGCUUGGGUCACUCACAGGAGAAAGACACUGUCAGCACUAACACUUAGCAGCAUGUUCACUAUUCAUCUAACCGUAUCGUUAGUCCAGAAGUGCCAUAUGGUCUGAUUUCUAGCUCUGUACAUAAGAUACGAUCAUCAUUUCCAUAAGUGAGCCAUUCCCUUGUUUUUCUGAGAAUUCCAAAAGACUUAGGAAUCUCGGGUUUUUUUUUUUCCACAAUGAAAGGUACAAUAAGAGUCAGAGCAGCUGUUUAAAGUGAGCUCCUCUGCCUGGCUCAGUUCCCAGUAUGUAAAGGGACUCAACUCGGUCCCUAAGCUCUUAGUUCAUAGAAAGAAGUUAGAGGGAUUUUAAAUGUAGUAACUAUCAGGGAGCAAACAAGUCAUGAGGAAACACAGCAAAUAGAAACCAGGAUGUCUGAGGAGGAGGGAGACGUAGUCACUGGAAAGAAGCGAACCACUCAGUACAAUCAGCAUGGAUUCAAUUGUCAUCAAGGGGACACAGAAGAGGACUGGGACAAAGUGAGGUCCAGAGCCCUUCGAGUUCCCAGGCUUACUACAGCGAUGGUUCAACAGCCUUUGGAAAGUAGGGAGAACCAAAGCUUC